rnacentral:rRNA from 1 species
CUACGGGUGGCACCAGUGGGGAAUAUUGGACAAUGGGGGAAACCCUGAUCCAGCAAUGCCGCGUGUGUGAAGAAGGCCUGCGGGUUGUAAAGCACUUUCGGUUGGGAGGACUGCUUCUAGCACUAAUAUUGUUGGAAGUUGACGUUACCUUCAGAAGAAGCACCGGCUAACUCCGUGCCAGCAGCCGCGGUAAUACGGAGGGUGCAAUCGUUAAUCGGAAUUACUGGGCGUAAAGCGCGCGUAGGCGGCGAGAUCAGUCGGGUGUGAAAGCCCCGGGCUUAACCUGGGAACUGCAUCCGAUACUGUCUAGCUUGAGUACAGGAGAGGAGAGUGGAAUUCCACAUGUAGCGGUGAAAUGCGUAGAUAUGUGGAGGAACACCAAUGGCGAAGGCAGCUCUCUGGCCUGAUACUGACGCUGAGGUGCGAAAGCGUGGGGAGCAAACAGGAUUAGAUACCCCCGUAGUC